rnacentral:rRNA from 1 species
UCAAGAAACUUCCACAAUGGGCGAAAGCCUGAUGGAGCGACGUCGCGUGAUGGACGAAGUGCUUCGGCACGUAAACAUCUUUUUAUGUGGGAUGAAAUUAUUGACAGUACCACAUGAAUAAGGGGCUCCUAACUCUGUGCCAGCAGGAGCGGUAAUACAGAGGCCCCAAGCGUUAUCCGGAAUCACUGGGCGUAAAGGGUGUCGAGGCGGUUGUAUUAGUCGUUCGUAAAAUCUACGAGCUUAACUUGUAGGCGGCGAACGAAACGGUACGACUUGAGGUUUGGAGAGGUGCGUGGAACUCACGGUGUAGGGUGAAAUCCGUUGAUAUCGUGGGGAACACCAAAGGCGAAGGCAGCGCACUGGCCAAAAUCUGACGCUCACACACGAAAGCUAGGGUAGCGAAGAGGAUUAGAUACCCACGUAGUCCCUGAGCGGGCUGGCAAGGCGCAU